rnacentral:lncRNA from 1 species
CAGAAUUAAGUGUUUGGGGAGCUCUUUUAAGUGCCUGCAAGUAUCAUGGAUAUGUUAAGAUGGGAGAACAAGUUGGAGAACAUAUCUUCAAAAUAGAUCCUGAAAAUGCUGGGUACUACGUUUCUUUAUUCAACAUAUAUGCAGCUGAUGGAAGGUGGAGUGACGCAAUGGAUGUUAGGAGAAUGUUUGACAAUAGAAUGUUAAGAAAAGCCCCAGGUUAUAGCCUAAUUGAUGUUUGUUCAGGGUGAAAACCCAACCAAUAAGCAUUUGAUGUUUAAGAAAGAAAGAUAUACUAAUACCUGAUCAAGUGUUCUUACUCUGGCUUGGGCAAUUUCAGCAGUACAUUCCAUGACUGCAUGAUAUAGCUGCUGCUUUGACCCAAUGGAGAAUAGACCCCAAAAAUGUUCAUCACCAGUAAACUCUAUGAUUACCUUGUGUGCAAUAGCUUGAUUCUAUUCGUUCACACUCCCUCUCCAACUACCACUGGCAAAACAUUUCCAAUCAAAUUUGACACGUCGUUAUAUACCGUUCUCCCCUUUCCCUCAACUAAACCAUAACAUGCUACAAUAAUGUGUAUCACAUUCUUCCAUUGCUGUUGCGAUGACCUUCCAAACGUGUGCUGAGAAGGCUUCAAGUUUUAUUCUCUCUUCCCCAUUAUAGAUCUUACAGUUUGGAAACCAUUAACAGAAAUUGUCAUAAGUCAUUGGUGGUGUGUUCAACCAUUACAUUGACAAUUCAUUUUAUUUAUGUUUUUCAGAUGGCAGACAGCCAAAUGUAUGCACUAUUAAUUGUAAACAACACAAAUUUAUUGAUAAUUUGUGAUGAUGUACACAUGUUGGCACAAUUCAAUGGCCUAUCAACUCUAAUGAAGCCAUUUUUCAAAAGGUUGCAAUUGGUUGAUUUUCAUUUGGUUCUCCUCAGAUAUCUCAGGUUCAGUGUCACCUCAUAGCUACUCCUUGCCUGAAUACCGGCCGACAUACCAACCAAUAAGCAUAUGAUGUUUAAGACCAAAAACAAAUGAACACUCAUGUGAAGCAAGAUAUACUAAAAAAUAAAAAUACCUGAGCAAGUGUUGUUAACAGUUACCUGAUCAGUUACCCAACCAAGAUAUAUGUUUACGUACAGUUCAUUGAGCAGUAGGUCUAACUGUAUUUAAAUAUAUAUCUAAAGUAGGCGUUUUGGAUUCCGGCCAAGAUUGUUGAUUUCAAUUCACUCUAAUAUCUCAGUAAACUGAUCAAGCAAUUUGAAAUGUUGAACAGAACAUGCUUUUCUAUCCAUGGAAUUUGAAAAGUUAUGUGACCACAUUUAUCCUAAAUAUUUAUCUUGAAAGGUCGCCCUUCUUCAUGUCAGAGAUUAGGAAGGACAUCACAAAG